rnacentral:rRNA from 1 species
UACGGAGGAUGCAAGCGUUAUCCGGAUUUAUUGGGCGUAAAGCGCGCGCAGGCGGUCCUUUAAGUCUGAUGUGAAAGCCCACGGCUUAACCGUGGAGGGUCAUUGGAAACUGAGGGACUUGAGUACAGAAGAGGAGAGUGGAAUUCCACGUGUAGCGGUGAAAUGCGUAGAGAUGUGGAGGAACACCAGUGGCGAAGGCGACUCUCUGGUCUGUAACUGACGCUGAGGUGCGAAAGCGUGGGUAGCAAACAGGAUUAGAUA